UGAACUGGACGUUUUUCGAAU
rnacentral:piRNA from 1 species